UACGGGGGGUGCGAGCGUUGUCCGGAAUCACUGGGCGUAAAGGGCGCGUAGGUGGCCUGAUAAGGGUGUGGUGAAAGUCCGGGGCUCAACCCCGGGUCGGCCGUGCGAACUGCGAGGCUGGAGCACUGUAGAGGCAGGUGGAAUUCCGGGUGUAGCGGUGGAAUGCGUAGAGAUCCGGAAGAACACCGGUGGCGAAGGCGGCUCACUGGCCCGAAACUGACGCUCAUGCACGACAGCGUGGGGAUCAAACAGG
rnacentral:rRNA from 1 species